UUCCACGCUUCCUACAACUCCAUUACGACUUAGCAGACCCGUGCUUCCACUUCCGUUUUCUUCAAAUUGCAAACCGCCAAGAUCUUCAUUUCUUACUGUGGGGUCUUCUUCUGGAUUAUAUACCAGCCAAAAUUUUGGAAAGCUAAAUAUUUUUCGAUCCCUACCCAAGUUUGAGAGGCAUU